UACGAAGGGAGCGAGCGUUGUUCGGAAUCACUGGGCUUAAAGCGUGCGUAGGCGGAUAUGUAAGUCAGAAGUGAAAUCCCGGGGCUUAACCCCGGAACUGCUUUUGAGACUGCAAGUCUAGAAUUCGGUAGAGGUUAGUGGAAUAUCCAGUGUAGAGGUGAAAUUCGCAGAUAUUGGAUGGAACACCAGUGGCGAAGGCGACUGACUGGGCCGAUAUUGACGCUGAGGCACGAAAGCGUGGGUAGCAAACAGG
rnacentral:rRNA from 1 species